rnacentral:rRNA from 1 species
UAGGGAAUCUUCCACAAAUGGACGCAAGUCUGAUGGAGCAACGCCGCGUGAGUGAAGAAGGUCUUCGGAUCGUAAAGCUCUGUUGUUGGUGAAGAAGGAUAGAGGCAGUAACUGGUCUUUAUUUGACGGUAAUCAACCAGAAAGUCACGGCUAACUACGUGCCAGCAGCCGCGGUAAUACGUAGGUGGCAAGCGUUGUCCGGAUUUAUUGGGCGUAAAGCGAGCGCAGGCGGAAUGAUAAGUCUGAUGUGAAAGCCCACGGCUCAACCGUGGAACUGCAUCGGAAACUGUCAUUCUUGAGUGCAGAAGAGGAGAGUGGAACUCCAUGUGUAGCGGUGGAAUGCGUAGAUAUAUGGAAGAACACCAGUGGCGAAGGCGGCUCUCUGGUCUGCAACUGACGCUGAGGCUCGAAAGCAU